CAGCCGCCGCGGUAAUACGAAGGGUGCAAGCGUUAAUCGGAAUUACUGGGCGUAAAGCGUGCGUAGGCGGUGAGUUAAGUCUGCUGUGAAAUCCCCGGGCUCAACCUGGGAAUUGUAGUGGAUACUGGGUCACUAGAGUGUGGUAGAGGAUAGUGGAAUUUCCGGUGUAGCAGUGAAAUGCGUAGAGAUCGGGAGGAACAUCAGUGGCGAAGGCGGCCAUCUGGGACAACACUGACGCUGAGGCACGAAAGCGUGGGGAGCAAACAGGAUUAGAUACCCGCGUAGUCCCUGUCUCUUAUAC
rnacentral:rRNA from 1 species